GGCAUGCUGACCAGACUGACCUUUGAGGAAGAUAAUUCCUAUUUGUGUAUCAUUUAUUUACUCUUUUCUAUAUCAUCUAUACUUAUUUGCAGUCUGCAAAGUCACUAUUAGAGAGAUGACACCAUGCUGCCUGGUUCCAAGGAAGUUCCAAAAAUACCUUCUCUUCAGGGGGAAUAAAACAAAUAACCCCUACCUCAGGGCUGCCUACACUGACA